rnacentral:rRNA from 1 species
UACGAAGGGUGCAAGCGUUAAUCGGAAUUACUGGGCGUAAAGCGUGCGUAGGCGGUGAGUUAAGUCUGUCGUGAAAUCCCCGGGCUCAACCUGGGAAUGGCGAUGGAUACUGGCUCGCUAGAGUGUGAUAGAGGAUGGUGGAAUUCCCGGUGUAGCGGUGAAAUGCGUAGAGAUCGGGAGGAACACCGGUGGCGAAAGCGGCUUACUGGAUCGAAUCUGACGCUGAGGUGCGAAAGCUAGGGUAGCAAACGGG